rnacentral:tRNA from 1 species
GCGGGCGUGGCGGAAUUGGCAGACGCGUUGGAUUUAGGUUCCAAUACCUCAGGGUGUGUGAGUUCGAGUCUCUUCGCCCGCACCA